UACGUAGGUGGCAAGCGUUGUCCGGAUUUAUUGGGUUUAAAGGGUGCGUAGGCGGCCCCGUAAGUCAGUGCUGAAAUAUCCCGGCUUAACCGGGAGGGUGGCAUUGAUACUGCGGGGCUUGAGUAGAGUUGAGGUUGGCGGAAUUGACGGUGUAGCGGUGAAAUGCUUAGAUAUCGUCAAGAACACCGAUAGUGUAGACAGCUAACUAAGCUCAAACUGACGCUGAGGCACGAAAGUGUGGGGAUCAAACAGG
rnacentral:rRNA from 1 species